rnacentral:rRNA from 1 species
UACGGAGGGUGCAAGCGUUAUCCGGAUUUACUGGGUUUAAAGGGUGUGUAGGCGGGGCUAUAAGUCAGGGGUGAAAUCUCCGGGCUCAACCCGGAAACUGCCAUUGAUACUAUAGGUCUUGAAUAUUGUGGAGGUGGGCGGAAUGUGUCAUGUAGCGGUGAAAUGCUUAGAGAUGACACAGAACACCGAUUGCGAAGGCAGCCCACUACGCAACUAUUGACGCUGAGGCACGAAAGCGUGGGGAUCAAACAGG